rnacentral:rRNA from 1 species
UACGUAGGGUGCGAGCGUUGUCCGGAAUUACUGGGCGUAAAGAGCUCGUAGGUGGUUUGUCGCGUUGUCCGUGAAAACUCACAACUCAAUUGUGGGCGUGCGGGCGAUACGGGCAGACUGGAGCACUGCAGGGGAGGACUGGAAUUCCUGGUGUAGCGGUGGAAUGCGCAGAUAUCAGGAGGAACACCGGUGGCGAAGGCGGGUCUCUGGGCAGUAACUGACGCUGAGGAGCGAAAGCGUGGGGAGCGAACAGG